rnacentral:rRNA from 1 species
AUUGAACGCUGGCGGCAUGCUUUACACAUGCCAGUCGAACGGUAACAGGCCUUCGGGUGCUGACGAGUGGCGAACGGGUGAGUAAUGCAUCGGAACGUGCCCAGAGGUGGGGGAUAACGCAGCGAAAGCUGUGCUAAUACCGCAUGUGAUCUGAGGAUGAAAGCGGGGGACCAGGCAGCAAUGUUUGGCCUCGCGCCUUUGGAGCGGCCGAUGUCAGAUUAGGUAGUUGGUGGGGUAAAGGCCUACCAAGCCGACGAUCUGUAGCUGGUCUGAGAGGACGACCAGCCACACUGGGACUGAGACACGGCCCAGACUCCUACGGGAGGCAGCAGUGGGGAAUUUUGGACAAUGGGCGCAAGCCUGAUCCAGCAAUGCCGCGUGCGGGAAGAAGGUCUUCGGGUUGUAAACCGCUUUUGUACGGAACGAAAAGGCUCUGGCUAAUACCUGGGGCUGAUGACGGUACCGUAAGAAUAAGCACCGGCUAACUACGUG